rnacentral:tRNA from 1 species
AGAAAUUUAGUUUAAAAAAAACAAUAACUUGUCAAGUUAUUAUUAUCUAGAUUGAUUUUUUCUA